rnacentral:rRNA from 1 species
UACGUAGGGUGCGAGCGUUUAAUCGGAAUUACUGGGCGUAAAGCGUGCGCAGGCGGUGAUGUAAGACCGAUGUGAAAUCCCCGGGCUUAACCUGGGAACUGCAUUGGUGACUGCAUUGCUGGAGUAUGGCAGAGGGGGGUGGAAUUCCACGUGUAGCAGUGAAAUGCGUAGAGAUGUGGAGGAACACCGAUGGCGAAGGCAGCCCCCUGGGCCAAUACUGACGCUCAUGCACGAAAGCGUGGGGAUCAAACAGG